GCUUCUUUUUCCACCGGGAGCUUGCUCCACCGGAAAAAGAAGAGUGGCGAACGGGUGAGUAACACGUGGGUAACCUGCCCAUCAGAAGGGGAUAACACUUGGAAACAGGUGCUAAUACCGUAUAACAAUCAAAACCGCAUGGUUUUGAUUUGAAAGGCGCUUUCGGGUGUCGCUGAUGGAUGGACCCGCGGUGCAUUAGCUAGUUGGUGAGGUAACGGCUCACCAAGGCCACGAUGCAUAGCCGACCUGAGAGGGUGAUCGGCCACAUUGGGACUGAGACACGGCCCAAACUCCUACGGGAGGCAGCAGUAGGGAAUCUUCGGCAAUGGACGAAAGUCUGACCGAGCAACGCCGCGUGAGUGAGGAAGGUUUUCGGAUCGUAAAACUCUGUUGUUAGAGAAGAACAAGGAUGAGAGUAACUGUUCAUCCCUUGACGGUAUCUAACCAGAAAGCCACGGCUAACUACGUGCCAGCAGCCGCGGUAAUACGUAGGUGGCAAGCGUUGUCCGGAUUUAUUGGGCGUAAAGCGAGCGCAGGCGGUUUCUUAAGUCUGAUGUGAAA
rnacentral:rRNA from 1 species